rnacentral:tRNA from 1 species
AAAAUAUUAGGUUAAACAAACCUUUGAUCUUCAAAGUCAACAAUCAUUUUGAUAUUUUG